rnacentral:sRNA from 1 species
GGGUUUCUCAACAUGGAGCAGAAGAGAUUUUAAUACUUUCCUCAGGGCUUGUGAGAAGUAUGGCCGCAACGACAUAAAAAGCAUUGCCUCUGAGAUGGAAGGGAAAACAGAGGAAGAAGUUGAAAGAUAUGCCAAAGUAUUUAAAGAGCGGUACAAGGAGCUGAACG